AUGCCAAACAUUUAUGCAAGUAAGAAAAUUUAAGCGUUAUCUUUUGACAGGUACAAGUGGCUACAUACGUUAGAUAACUCACCUUUAUGGACGCGCUCUCUGGAGAGUGAUAAGACAAUUUCAGACAAGGAAACAAUGUUCAGUAUCUUUAAGACAAAAUACAGAUGCCGACAAAACCAUGCGCAUCUUUCUCCAAAAGAACGUGAUGAUUGCAAUGGAUACCUUUGUAAAAAGGGGCACACUCAUCACCAAAAAAGAGAAGUUGACGUUUGUAACAGACAAAUUUUUAUUUGCCAAAAAGGGCACGAACAUGAGACAGAAAAGGACUGGCGUAUUUGUAAUUUCAGUGGAACACCGGAUGGAGACAUAUAUGACAGAUUUACUCAAAAUGUAUCAAACAUGCUUCAGUUCUAACAUCAGGAUAAUGUCAAAUCGAGAUACUGAGUUUGAUGCAGGUUUCAACACGAUAUAAUUGAUGUAUUCACUGAACUCACAUUUAUAAUGCUGUCAUAUUCAUGUUGUUAGGCCCGUUGAAUUAAAAUAUAUUUAAGCCACAUAAUCAACGAACGUACAACAAAAUAUAUCAAUAUCAUGUAAUUUGUCUGAAUAAGCUAUUAUAUUUUGAUAUUCAGAUAUCAGAUAUUUUAUAUUUGAUAUCAGAUUCGAGAUUUAGAUAUCGAAUUGAUGUUUUAUGAUGCAAAUUGAAAUAACAAAGCUCAACAAUAUAUCACUCUAAGACUAAGAAUUAAGGAUUCGAAAAGACCAUCGUAUGAAACGGUCGUUGAUAAGAUGACAUUAUUAUUCGAAACACCAAAGGGCAUGAAUCUACAGGAACGUCACAGAUUCCAAGUUUUAGUUUUCUUUUCUGUAAUAUCAAGUUCCAAAAAUACAAAUAAAAUUGCACUAAUGAUUAAAAGACACUAAGAUGAUUUUGCUGUUCGACUUAGACCUUGAAUAAACAGGUUCAAGCUCUUCUUUAGCAUUCUGAUACGCGAAAACUAUGAACAUAAACGCUACGCGUUAUAAAGUUAAACAUGGUAUAUUUCUAAAACUAGACUUUAUUAAGGAGAACAAAUGUGGUUUGCAGUUUAAAGAGGCACACCUUAGGUUGAUGGAAGGUUAUUUGGAUUUAUUUUUUAAUUUAUUAUCAUGUUUAAUUUACUUGAUUUCAAUGAUAAACAAACAUAUGAUCUGUGAAAAGAUACAAAUAGAUAAUGUUUUAUAAAUGUUUUCUUUCUUCAAUUAAUAGCUACGUGGAAACAAAUUCUCCUCUUAUAAAGAUGCCAAAAUAUCACUUAUAAUUCUUCUCUGUACACAAAUCGUAGUUUUAUUGUUUGUUUUAAUAAUUAAAUGAGCACUAUAAUGAUGCAUUAAAGCUAAAGGAUGUUUUGCCUCAACCCAUAGUGUGGCUCUUUUUUAAUAUCCACCCUAUUACCACCAAAGGUAAAUAGUUCACUCUUGGUUUGAUCAUUUGAGAAACAUACCUUAGGAGUUCUCUUAGUGGAGUUUAUAAAGAUCGUCCACUGAAACAAGCAACUAGGUUCCAUAUCUUAACAUGUCUGCUGGUUUAUUUCUUUUUCUUGUAUUAUUAAUAGUUCAAGGUUUGAUAAAUUUGAGUACUACCUUGAGUGAAAUUUAAAAAUAAUACAUGUUUGCUUCGUUAUAACCUUAUAAACAUAAUUUACUUUCUAAUGGCUGAUUCUAUUCUAUUCUAUUCUAUAAAACUUCGCUUGGUGCUAUGACGUUGUAAUGUGUUAAUCAAACCGUUUUGUAAUCAUCACAAUCUAUCAAGCAGCUGUUAAUGUAUUUUUGCUAGGAACAUUUAAUUAAUGCAGAUUACCUGAUACAGCGCCUUUGCACUUAAGUGAUAUUGUUAAAUAUGCCUUGUGCGAUAGGAUCAGGAAUACAAAUAUUAAUUUAUUUUCAUUUAAAUAUUUAUUUGACAAAAUACAGAAACAACUACAUUAGUUAAAAGUUUCGAAUCCGAAUUUCGAUUUUGACACGAAUAUAAGAAAGUGUUUUUCAUAUUGACACAUACAGUUUUCAUCAUCCGUAUAAAAUAAUAUAAAAUGUUUGUACUUCUUAAGACUGUUAUCUUCAUUUAUCUUACAUCGAUUACUUAUUCACAUGAUGAGAUCGAAAUGUCUGACUAAACUUUAUCCUUUGAGCAUUUCUAAUGUUAUUGAAUCGUAUCUUGAGCUUGUUAUUUAGAUGCCCAAUCGACAUUGGUAAAUAAA